CUGGCUCAGGACGAACGCUGGCGGCGUGCCUAACACAUGCAAGUCGAACGGAGUUAAUGAUUUCGGUUGUUAACUUAGUGGCGAACGGGUGAGUAACGCGUGAACAACCUGACCCAAAGAGGGGGAUAACAUUUUGGAAACAGAUGCUAAUACCGCAUAAGACCACAACGUCACAUGGCGAAGGGGUCAAAGGAGCAAUCCGCUUUGGGAGGGGUUCGCGUCCCAUUAGGUAGAUGGCGGGGUAACGGCCCACCAUGCCAACGAUGGGUAGCCGAGCUGAGAGGCUGAUCGGCCACACUGGAACUGAGACACGGUCCAGACUCCUACGGGAGGCAGCAGUGGGGAAUAUUGGGCAAUGGGCGCAAGCCCUGACCCAGCAACGCCGCGUGAGGGAAGAAGGUUUUCGGAUUGUAAACCUCUGUCGCAGAAGACGAAGGAAGUGACGGUAUUCUGUGAGGAAGCCCCGGCUAACUACGUGCCAGCCGCAGC
rnacentral:rRNA from 1 species